AAAACAAUUAAAUACAUUCGGAGGUUUAUAAAAGCAGACUUAUCAGGAGAGAAGGUCAUAUUUUCCUAACUCCACGUCGUGGUUACCGAAAAAACAAAAUGGCGUUUCUUUCCUCAAGAACAGUCAUUGCGUUCAUGUCGAUAGUUGCAGUUGUAUUUAGUAUAACUCCGGACAGCUAUUACUUUGAGUGUGAGCAGUACUCAGGAGAUCAGUGGGACCAGAUAGAUAAAACAAACAGGGAAUGCAUGAGGGAGGAUGUUGACGGGGUGGAUACAAUGUUUUGACAUCACUGGGAGUGUGAUGUACCGGAGUGUCCAGAAGAAGAACAGAUUACAUGAGAAGAUGGAUGCAAAGCAUGC